CCUUACUAACUGGAUCAAAAUCUAAAAAACUCAAAAAAUUUUGUGUUGUCAUCAACUUCGUCUCUUAUUUGUCCUAUGGGAAUGGAGCUUAAUAAUAGCACUAAAUUC